rnacentral:rRNA from 1 species
UGGGGAAUUUGACAAUGGGCGAAAGCCUGAUCCAGCAAUGCCGCGUGUGUGAAGAAGGCCUUCGGGUUGUAAAGCACUUUUGUCCGGAAAGAAAUCCUUGGCUCUAAUACAGUCGGGGGAUGACGGUACCGGAAGAAUAAGCACCGGCUAACUACGUGCCAGCAGCCGCGGUAAUACGUAGGGUGCAAGCGUUAAUCGGAAUUACUGGGCGUAAAGCGUGCGCAGGCGGUUUGCUAAGACCGAUGUAAAAUCCCCGGGCUCAACCUGGGAACUGCAUUGGUGACUGGCAGGCUAGAGUAUGGCAGAGGGGGGUAGAAUUCCACGUGUAGCAGUGAAAAUGCGUAGAGAUGUGGAGGAAUACCGAUGGCGAAGGCAGCCCCCUGGGCCAAUACUGACGCUCAUGCACGAAAGCGU